UCCACCCACCUCGGCCUCCCAAAGUGUUGGGAUUACAGGUGUGAGCCAUGGCGCCUGGCCUAUAGUUGAAAUUUGAAGCCCAGAGAGAACGAUCUGGCUACAGUCUCAGGGUUGGUUAGUAGAACAGCCUGUCUAGAACCCAACUCCCAGGGCAUACUCCUACUGUUCCUGUUACUCAAAUGUUCCCUCAGUUCAUUCACUAUAUUAUUAAACUUCUGUCUCAUCUUUUUUUCUUUUAGCACCCUCAAGGACAGGGACCUUGUCUUGGUCAUCCCUGCAUCCCAAGAGCCUAGCACAGGACCUGGCUCCAUCAGCAGGUGGAAUGGAAGACACCUCCCACCCUGACCCCUUGGGCAACCAAGGCAUUAUACUCCUUCACUGCCUGCUCUGUCUGGAGGACCCGCACAUCAAUGCCAUGUUUCUUGAGGUACUCCACAGUUGAUGAAGGCACCUGGGAAGGUGGAAAAGAGAUGAGAAACAUUGGUUUUGCUUGGACUUUAAACUGAUUGGAAGAGGCCAACUCAGUGUAUCAAGGAUAAUCUCAUAUAUACACUAGUCUACUGACUGCAGAUGUUAACCAUAUC